rnacentral:rRNA from 1 species
UACGAAGGGGGCUAGCGUUGCUCGGAAUCACUGGGCGUAAAGCGCACGUAGGCGGACUCUUAAGUCGGUGGUGAAAUCCUGGAGCUCAACUCCAGAACUGCCUUCGAUACUGAGAGUCUCGAGUCCGAGAGAGGUGAGUGGAACUGCGAGUGUAGAGGUGAAAUUCGUAGAUAUUCGCAAGAACACCAGUGGCGAAGGCGGCU